rnacentral:lncRNA from 1 species
GAGACUACAAAACAUUUAUUUGCAUAGGCUAUAACAAUUAAUCUAAAUCAUAAAAACAGUGCACACGUAACCAUAAAGCCAAUUUGCAUCUAGUGAUAAAAGCAAAUUAAAGGUACAACUAAAAAUAGAAAGUGUUGUUUCUUUUCAUCUUUAAUUCAAUGCUUUUCUUUCUUAUAUGAUUUAGUUCAAUUAUGAUGAAAGACAUAUAAUAGAGUUCAUUAUGAUUCUAUGUGAAAUCAUACUAUCAAAACUAGUUGACCUUAGCUACAUUUGUGCCCUAUACUGCU